rnacentral:rRNA from 1 species
UCAGGUAACACUGAAUGGAGGACCGAACCGACUUACGUUGAAAAGUGAGCGGAUGAACUGAGGGUAGCGGAGAAAUUCCAAUCGAACCUGGAGAUAGCUGGUUCUCUCCGAAAUAGCUUUAGGGCUAGCCUCAAGUGAUGAUUAUUGGAGGUAGAGCACUGUUUGGACGAGGGGCCCCUCUCGGGUUACCGAAUUCAGACAAACUCCGAAUGCCAAUUAAUUUAACUUGGGAGUCAGAACAUGGGUGAUAAGGUCCGUGUUCGAAAGGGAAACAGCCCAGACCACCAGCUAAGGUCCCAAAAUAUAUGUUAAGUGGAAAAGGAUGUGGCGUUGCCCAGACAACUAGGAUGUUGGCUUAGAAGCAGCCAUCAUUUAAAGAGUGCGUAAUAGCUCACUAGUCGAGUGACACUGCGCCGAAAAUGUACCGGGGCUAAACAUAUUACCGAAGCUGUGGAUUGUCCUUUGGACAAUGGUAGGAGAGCGUUCUAAGGGCGUUGAAGCAUGAUCGUAAGGACAUGUGGAGCGCUUAGAAGUGAGAAUGCCGGUGUGAGUAGCGAAAGACGGGUGAGAAUCCCGUCCACCGAUUGACUAAGGUUUCCAGAGGAAGGCUCGUCCGCUCUGGGUUAGUCGGGUCCUAAGCUGAGGCCGACAGGCGUAGGCGAUGGAUAACAGGUUGAUAUUCCUGUACCACCUAUAAUCGUUUUAAUCGAUGGGGGGACGCAGUAGGAUAGGCGAAGCGUGCGAUUGGAUUGCACGUCUAAGCAGUAAGGCUGAGUAUUAGGCAAAUCCGGUACUCGUUAAGGC